rnacentral:rRNA from 1 species
GAUGAACGCUGGCGGCGUGCCUAAUACAUGCAAGUCGAGCGAACAGACGAGGAGCUUGCUCCUCUGACGUUAGCGGCGGACGGGUGAGUAACACGUGGAUAACCUACCUAUAAGUCUGGGAUAACUUCGGGAAACCGGAUCUAAUACCGGAUAACAUGUUGAACCGCAUGGUUCAACAGUGAAAGACGGUUUUGCUGUCACUUAUAGAUGGAUCCGCGUCGCAUUAGCUAGUUGGUAAGGUAACGGCUUACCAAGGCAACGAUGCGUAGCCGACCUGAGAGGGUGAUCGGACACACUGGAACUGAGACACGGUCCAGACUCCUAAGGGAGGCAGCAGUAGGGAAUCUUCGGCAAUGGGCGGAAGCCUGACGGAGCACAGCCGCGUGAGUGAAGAAGGUCUUCGGAUCGUAAAACUCUGUUAUUAGGGAAGAACAAAUGUGUAAGUAACUAUGAACGUCUUGACGGUACCUAAUCAGAAAGCCACGGCUAACUACGUG